rnacentral:lncRNA from 1 species
GUGUACUCAAUUGAAGUCAUAUAUACUCUCGUGGUACAAUUGUCAAUAGAAUCUUUUAUUUAGAUCUUUCUAUCCAAUCGUUCAUAACAAUCCAAGGUGAAUUCCAAUUACCCCAGAGAACCCUAAGACUACUCUCGUGAAUUAGGAUUCUAGUUUCAAUAACAUAAUGGUCAGAUAGUUGGAUUUACCUAUUGGUUCUUCCACAAAACUCAAUAAAAUAGACAUACAAACAAGUUUGUAUUGAAUGUAAAAAGGCAUGGCCCUUAUCCUAGAAACUAAAGGAAUUACUCGCUCAUGAUGAUGAUGGAGAUGAGAUUAGAGAAUCAGUGUAAAAACAUGUUCAAUACUUAAGGGAGACCCCUCAUUUAUCCUAAUUACCAAAGAUCGGGGCAAAGUCCAACAAUAAAAAAUAUAAAAAUCAUAAAAAUAGGAAUAGAAUCUAUCAUCCACGACCAUGGGUGUGUGGGGCCUUCACUUCAAGUUCUUCGAUUCAGGCUCCAAGAUGACUUCUUUUGGCCCUUCAAUUGGUCUUUGCAUAGCCUUAAGGCCGAAUUCCACCUUCUUGUACCCAAUCUCUACUCUUUUUGGCUUCAAUCCGUCCAACCUGCACAACAUAGUUAAACACACCCGCUCAACCCGAACAAAGAGAAAUAAAAGCUAAAAGUAAUCCUAAAGUCUCAAUUAUGUCCUAUAAUACAAUUUAAAUACGAUUCAAAUACAACAUAAUUUCACAAUCAUCAAUCACCACCAGUAUGCAAUGUGAAACUCAUGAAGCCUAUAUCAUAAGCCUGUAGAAGUUUGUGUUUCAUAUGCCAAUUGAGUUUCAGGUUCUUUCACCAUUUCCACUGAUGAAGCCUAUAUCAUAAGGCAGCACCAAUAUGGGUUAUGGGUUGAUGUUUCCAUCGGAGAUAUCGAACCUAGUACAAUCUCAAGAUACCAAAGAUGACUCUAUGAUUUUUUUAAUUCAGGAGUUGUCAAAUGAUUACUCAAAAGUAUGUUUUCAAAGUAAAGUUCUUACUUAUAAAAUAGUCUAUGCACAAAGUUUGGAUAAUCUUUACAUUUUUAUCUAACCUUUUCAAAAAUCAAGUAGUCGGGUAUAACAUCCCAAUUCCUAACAAAACAUAAAGUAAACUAAGUUAAUUAUUUUGUUUAAGUUACAUGGAUUGAACAUGUAGAAGUAGAUAAUAAUGCAUAAUAUUUAUAAACUUGUAGUUAAUUUUGGCACAUUCCCAUUUGAGCUACAAGGUGGUU